UUCAACAACUAAAUUUUUUAAGUUUCCUUUAAAAUCUGAACAAUACUCCUAAACAACGACACAUAAAACAAUCAAAUACUUCUCCUUUUCGACUUCCUUACAACGUUCCUAUUUCCUUUGAAUCCAUAAACAAUUUUAUGGAUUCAUAUACUCAACCUUCUAGCCUAAUGGAUCUCUUAAACCAUCAACAACCAAACACUCAACCUAGUGUAGAUAUCUCUGCGUCAAAUGUCUCUUUGUUCGGUCCUUGGUCUGAAGAAGAAAACGUUGAAGCCCACACUGUGAAGGACCAUAAAGGGAGAAGGAAGUGGACACUAACAGAGGAUCAUGUGCUCAUCAGUGCUUGGUUGAACACCUCCAAAAACCCUGUAGUUGGGAAAUGGUGUGGCGCACCUACAACUAAAGAUAAGGUGCAGUCAAAAAGGAGGAAGUUAGAUGAGCACUCUGCACAAUCAUCAACUUCUGUGGCUGGAGAGGAUGAUCAAUCCAAGCGCCCUAUUGGAGUUAAAGCGGAAAAGGCGAAAGGAAAAAGGGCUGUGAGCAAUGCAACGAAGUUGGAUGAGGAAGAAAAGUAGUUGCAGAGCAUCUGGGGUAUUAGACAGAAGGACUUUGCUUUGAAAGAUACUCUUAUCAAGCAAAAAGAUACUCUUAACAAGCAAAAAUUGCUUGACUCUCUAAUUGCAAAGACUGAGCCAUUAACUGAACUCGAACUUGCCUUAAAAAACAAACUUAUUAAAGAUAUGUUGAGUCUUUAGUUGCGUCUGUAUGAUCUGGAUUUAACAAGCAAAAAUUGUUUGUGUCGAGUCUUUAGUUGUGUUUUAGUUGUCUCUGUGAGCUGUUUGUGUCGAGUUUGUAAGAUAAUUGCCUUAUCUUAAUGUAAAAUAGCUGUUUAAUGUUGUCUGUCUCGUCGUCUCUCUCGUCUCGAAGCUCGCCGUCUCUCUCGUCGUCUCUCUCGCCGUCUGUCUCGUCUCGAUUCUCGUAGUCUCUGCCGUCUGUAUCGUCGUCUCUCUCGUGUUGAAUCUCGCCGUCUCUCUCGUCGUCUCUCUCGCCGUCUCUUUCGUCGUCUCUCUCGACGUCUCUCUCGCCGUCUGUCUCGUCUCGAUUCUCGUCGUCUCUCUCGCCAUCUGUCUCGUGUCGAUUCUCGUCGUCUUUCUCGAAUCUGGUCUGAAAUCUCGUCUCGGUCUCCUUAUCGGUAAGAAAUCAUCCUUUUGAUUUGGUCUGAAAUCUCACACUCUCUGUUCGUGAUCCGCUGUUAUGAUGAAGCUUGAAGAGAAAGCAAGGAUGGAGGGAAGGAUAUAACUCAGACAAGAUGGAAGAAGAAGCAAGAUAAGUUCGAACAUCCCUUGUCUUUUGAAAAAGAACUUUUAUUAAAAAAUGAUAACAGUGGUGAUUUAUUUGAUAAUAUUGAGGAAGGUGAAAUCUAUUAGAUUGGUAGUAGAGUUUUGUUUGACUGUUGAAAAUAUUGAAUCCUUUGCAUAGAAACAUAGUCGGUUGGUUUGUUAUAACAAGUGUUGAUGAUGAAUUUUAGGAAGAAUUGUCUCUAUUAGUCUGGAAGCAGAGUCGAUUGUGUUUUACAUUAUCACACCAAGCUGUUCUUGUCUUUAUUUUCAUAUCAUUUUGUGUUCGGUUAUCUAUGUAAAUAUUUGAUUGAUCAAGGUUUAUUACUUUGUUUAUAUAAUUCUAUUUUUGUUGGUUGUGUGAGGAGUGGUGAUCAUCAAGAAGCGGGAGCCGACAGUUGGGGAGUUUCCUUUCAUUCAUUACGGAUGCAACAUGGCCAGAAGAUCCAUAUUUCACUUCAAUCAGCAAGAGGUUAGCAGACUUGUCUUUAAUGCUUUGUUAGAGCUUCAUUAGGUUUGGAAAUUAAAUGGUAUUGGUUAGAGUUUGAUUAGGUUUGAAAAUUAAAUGGUAUCUGUUAGUUGUGUGGAUGUGAUUUGCCUUUGUUGUCGUGUUUCUUUUAGUUGUAGUUUCUUUUAGUUGUAGGUAUGAACAUUGAUUGUCAUUAACACACAAAGUAAGUAACUUCAACAACUAAAUUUUUUAAGUUUCCUUUAAAAUCUGAACAAUACUCCUAAACAACAACACGUAAAACAAUCAAAUACUUCUCCUUUUCGACUUCCUUACAACGUUCCUAUUUCCUUUGAAUCCAUAAACAAUUUUAUGGAUUCAUAUACUCAACCUUCUAGCCUAAUGGAUCUCUUAAACCAUCAACAACCAAACACUCAACCUAGUGUAGAUAUCUCUGCGUCAAAUGUCUCUUUGUUCGGUCCUUGGUCUGAAGAAGAAAACGUUGAAGCCCACACUGUGAAGGACCAUAAAGGGAGAAGGAAGUGGACACUAACAGAGGAUCAUGUGCUCAUCAGUGCUUGGUUGAACACCUCCAAAAACCCUGUAGUUGGGAAAUGGUGUGGCGCACCUACAACUAAAGAUAAGGUGCAGUCAAAAAGGAGGAAGUUAGAUGAGCACUCUGCACAAUCAUCAACUUCUGUGGCUGGAGAGGAUGAUCAAUCCAAGCGCCCUAUUGGAGUUAAAGCGGAAAAGGCGAAAGGAAAAAGGGCUGUGAGCAAUGCAACGAAGUUGGAUGAGGAAGAAAAGUAGUUGCAGAGCAUCUGGGGUAUUAGACAGAAGGACUUUGCUUUGAAAGAUACUCUUAUCAAGCAAAAAGAUACUCUUAACAAGCAAAAAUUGCUUGACUCUCUAAUUGCAAAGACUGAGCCAUUAACUGAACUCGAACUUGCCUUAAAAAACAAACUUAUUAAAGAUAUGUUGAGUCUUUAGUUGCGUCUGUAUGAUCUGGAUUUAACAAGCAAAAAUUGUUUGUGUCGAGUCUUUAGUUGUGUUUUAGUUGUCUCUGUGAGCUGUUUGUGUCGAGUUUGUAAGAUAAUUGCCUUAUCUUAAUGUAAAAUAGAUGUUUAAUGUUGUCUAUCUCUCUG
rnacentral:lncRNA from 1 species